GGAUCCCUGCCCUUUGUACACACCGCCCGUCGCUACUACCGAUUGAAUGGCUCAGUGAGGCGUCCGGACUGGC
rnacentral:rRNA from 1 species